AGGGGGAGUACAUGUAAAUACUGAUGUAAAAUGUUACCGGUGAGACAAUCUGUUGCCCAUAUAGGUGAGCUGUUUUUUUUUUGCCAAAUAUUUGUUUCCAAAGCAGUUUCAUGGGUGAAGCUGUUUUUUUUGUUUUCCUCUCACAAAAAACAUGAGUGGGAUAAAGCAGAAAAAAGUAGUUUAUUGUAGCUCUCUCUAUUUCAUUUCUUUCCCCCAUUUAUGCAAGAAGUAGUUGGUGAAGCUAUUUUACCAAAUACUUUUUUUAAAAUAGCUUAGCUUCAUUUAGAAAGUUGCUUAUAAAACUAUUUUUUUAAAAAAAUAGCUUUACUAGUGAAGUUAAGCUGUACCAAACAAGGCCAUACUCUAUCCUAGUGAACCCACCAUAUCCUACAGCCUGUGGCAGUCACUUUUUUUAGUGUUUUUUUGGCCUUUUUUCGAGAGGUGCAACGUCACCUUUCACCAAGCUGCAAUUUGUCGAGCAGCAGACCAAGCGUCUAACAAUGAUCAACCUAGGAUGAAUGGGCCGGACUGAUAGUGCACUCGUGCAGUACGAAGUUAGGUUAAGCUUCACCUCCGCUAGGGAUGGUGGGCCGUUAAACCCAUUUAGCUUGAUGGGCUACUGAUCUAUUGGGCUGCGAUUGUGGCCUUGGCAGCUUGGAUCCCACAAAAGAUUACUCCCUAAAUUUUUUUUUUUUGUAAAUCCCCUAAAUUAGUAUCUUAGACUCCAAUAAUCGUCACCCAAAAUACAAGACCUAUUUAUCCUUUGGAUAGCGCUACAGGUAAAAGGUUCUAUACCUAUUUUUAGUCUUCUCCAACAACAAGACCUAAAAGACAACACUCUCUGUAAAUGGG
rnacentral:lncRNA from 1 species